GACGGAGGAUGCAAGUGUUAUCCGGAAUCACUGGGCGUAAAGCGUCUGUAGGUGGUUUAAAAAGUCUACUGCUAAAAAUUGAAGCUUAACUUCAAAGAUGCCGUAGAAACUUUUAAACUCGAGGAUGGUAGGGGUAGAGGGAAUUUCCAGUGGAGCGGUGAAAUGCGUAGAUCUUGGAAAGACCACCAAUGGCGAAGGCACUCUACUGGGCCAUUACUGACACUAAGAGACGAAAGCUAGGGGAGCAAAUGGG
rnacentral:rRNA from 1 species